AUCGAAUAGAGCAAUAGGCCACAGACAGCGGGCGGGCCAACGGCCCUUAAACGUCUGAGACGAUGCCCGCCGAGGCAAGCGGAGAGUAUCGCAGUCCGAAACCGCGAUACGAUCCUUGAAAGGAAAGCCCUUGCCUUGCUGUGGCAAGGGCUUUAAAGUCUAGGUC
rfam:Dehalococcoidia bacterium SM23_28_2 WORSMTZ_4734, whole genome shotgun sequence.